AAACGUUAACGAAGAAGAGAUUUUGCAACAUUUUAUUUUCAAAUUCGCUUUAGCUACGCAUAUUUACCGCUUCUCGGUGCGUAACCAAUCGCCGCAUAUAAAGUCCGUUUACUAUACUCAUUAACGAGAUCGCUCGCCAUCCUGUCAUAUUUCCUAAAAAUCAAAUUAACGAGCAUUCGUUGUAAGGCCAACGAAAUAUUCCAUAUGCUGUGUCAUCGUACGAAAGAUAUAUAAGCAGUAGAGAUGCAAUCUACCGAUACAAAAGUACUUGACAAGUGUGUGAUGAGUUCUGUAUGUCCGUGAAGACAAAAAAAAUUAUAAUACAAAAAUACAGUUUUGAAACACGAUGAAGACGUUUCCCAUUUGUAUUUUUAUUAUUUUUGUCGUAAUCGUUCGUUCUACACAUGCUAGCGAUCAAGGAAAUAGAUAUUAUUAUCCGUUGUUUUGGUUCGGGAGAACCGACUAUCGCGAUUAUAAUCGUUAUCGUAACGUCAGAUGGUCGCUCGAGAACUUGAAACGAAGGUCAACUACUACAUCUUACGCCGAGAUUGGAAGUGCGUGGGGUCGUUGAAGAAGGGACAAAAGUGGGGUCUUAAAUAAACUUCGUUGUGAAAUUGAUAGAAAACAAAAGAGAAAGGAGAAAAAGAAGGGUUCAGGUGAUCAAGUAACAUCAUCAAAAUUUGUUCAAUCGUGAAACAAGUUUGAAACGAGAAAAAAUUUAAUGAAAUCGUUAUUUGAAUUCGAUUAAAAAAAAAAAAAUUCUCGUCUCUCGAUAAGACGACAUCUAACUCUUGAACUCGUGAAUAUUUAACGUCUAUGGAGAACAAAGGGCAAACGAAUGAGAGAGGUGAGUUUUUGUUUUUUCUUGAAAAUUGCGAAAGAUCGUUUUAGAGCGUAACACUGAGGAUGCAUUAAGAACCUAGUGAUUUUCUUUAUAGCGCUCUUCGUACGACGUCUUCUUCAUCGAUCACGAACGAAUGAGAA